AUGCCCCCCGCUGUGUUCUUUUUGCUUAGAAUUGACUUGGCUAUGCGGGCUCUCUUUUGGUUCCAUAUGAAGUUCAUGGUGGUUUUUUCCAGUUCUGUGAAGAAAGUCAGUGGUAGCUUGAUGGGGAUAGCGUUGAUUCUGUGGUGUAGACGAAUGCUUGUGAUUUUUGCACAUUGAUUUUAUAUCCUGAGACUUUGCUGAAGUUGCUUAUCAGUUUCAGGAGUUUUUGGGCUGAGAUGAUGGGGUCUUCUAGGUAUACUAUCAUGUCGUUUGCAAAUAGAGACAAUUUGGCUUCCACCUUUCCUAUUUGAAUACCCUUUAUUUCUUUUUCUUGCCUGAUUCUCUGGCUAGAACUUCCCGUACUAUAUUGAAUAGGAGUGGUGAAAGAGGGCAUCCUUGUCUAGUGCCAGAUUUCAAAGGGAAUGCUUCCAGUUGUUGCCCAUUCAGUAUGAUAUUGGCUGUUGGUUUGUCAUAAAUAGCUUUUAUUACUUUGAGAUACGUUCCAUCGAUACCGAGUUUAUUGAGGGUUUUUAGCAUAAAGGGCUGUUGAAUUUUGUCAAAUGCCUUCUCUGCGUCAAUUGAGAUAAUCAUGUGGUUUUUGUUUUUGGUUCUGUUUAUGUGGUGAAUUACGUUGAUAGACUUGCGUAUGUUGAACCAGCCUUGCAUCCCCGGGAUGAAUCCUACUUGAUCAUGGUGAAUAAGUUUUUUGAUUUGCUGUUGCAUUUGGCUUGCCAAUAUUUUAUUGAAGAUUUUUGCAUCUAUGUUCAUUAUGGAUAUUGGCGUGAAGUUUUCUUUUCUUGUUGGGUCUCUGCCAGGUUUUGGUAUCAGAAUGAUGUUGGUCUCGUAAAAUGAUUUGGGAAGGAUUUUCUCUUUUUGGAUUGUUUGAAAUAGUUUUAGAAGGAAUGGUACCAGCUCCUCUUUGUGUGUCUGGUAGAAUUUGGCUGUGAACCCGUCUGGACCUGGGCUUUUUUUGUGUGGUAGGCUCUUAAUUGUUGCCUCGACUUCUGACCUUGCUAUUAGUCUAUUCAUAGUUUCAGCUUCCUUCUGGUUUAGGCUUGGGAAGACACAGGAGUCCAGGAAUUUAUCCAUUUCUUCCAGGUUUACUAGUUUAUGUGCAUAGAGUUGUUUGUAAUAUUCUCUGAUGAUGGUUUGAAUUUCUGUGGAAUCUGUGGUGAUUUCCCCUUUAUCAUUUUUUAUUGCAUCUGUUUGGUUGUUCUCUCUUUUCUUUUUAAUCAAUCUUGCUAGUGGUCGGUCUAUUUUGUUGAUCUUUUCAAAAAACCAGCUCUUGGAUUUAUUGAUUUUUUUGAAGGGUUUUUUGUUUCUCAAUCUUCUUCAGUUCAGCUCUGAUCUUAGUUAUUUCUUGUCUUCUGCUGGGUUUU
rnacentral:lncRNA from 1 species